AGGCUUAACACAUGCAAGUCGAACGCCCCGCAAGGGGAGUGGCAGACGGGUGAGUAACGCGUGGGAACAUACCCUUUCCUGCGGAAUAGCUCCGGGAAACUGGAAUUAAUACCGCAUACGCCCUACGGGGGAAAGAUUUAUCGGGGAAGGAUUGGCCCGCGUUGGAUUAGCUAGUUGGUGGGGUAAAGGCCUACCAAGGCGACGAUCCAUAGCUGGUCUGAGAGGAUGAUCAGCCACAUUGGGACUGAGACACGGCCCAAACUCCUACGGGAGGCAGCAGUGGGGAAUAUUGGACAAUGGGCGCAAGCCUGAUCCAGCCAUGCCGCGUGAGUGAUGAAGGCCUUAGGGUUGUAAAGCUCUUUCACCGGAGAAGAUAAUGACGGUAUCCGGAGAAGAAGCCCCGGCUAACUUCGUGCCAGCAGCCGCGGUAAUACGAAGGGGGCUAGCGUUGUUCGGAAUUACUGGGCGUAAAGCCGCACGUAGGCGGAUAUUUAAGUCAGGGGGUGAAAUCCCAGAGCUCAACUCUGGAACUGCCUUUUGAUACUGGGU
rnacentral:rRNA from 1 species